rnacentral:lncRNA from 10 species
CUCAAGGCUCUCAGACUAUCGUGGAUAUCUACAAAGCAUUUCUAUCAUUAGAUUCUAAUCCAGAACCACAUGAUUGACCUUGUAUGGCUGUUUCUGUGGAUGUUUGUUAAAUAAGAAUAUUGAGAGCCAAGGAAUUCUAUCAAGCAAAGAUGUUCUACUCAGGUUUAUGAACAGUUUUCCCCCUGUAUGGCUGUACUGUUUAUUCCACUGAGCCUGGCUGCAUCCUUCUGCUUUGAUUUAUAGGGAAGGCAGAAGUCAACACCUAAAAGAUGUGACUUUUAAAACAGAGCCUGGGAUAGUCUUUAUUUCUCCCUUUCUGUUGAAGUCCAGUUUCUCAGUUUAUGGCUUCUGCUCCAGGGCCUACUGUGGAACUUGAGCAUCCACGGACUUUGGUAGACGGGGUGGUCCUGGAACCAGUGCCCCAGAGGUACCCCAGGAUGGCUGUCCUGCAGCUUUCAACUCCUCAUGGGAGGGAGCAUGCAAGUGAACGAGGUGGGAACUGGAAUGCAUGAACUCUGGAAACAACCACCCACUUCGGAGCUGACAGGAGCAAACUUCAAUCACUCAGACUUCCUGCGCUUCAUCCAUCAUGAGAGGGAGCACACAGUGUCCCCAUCUGUCCCAUGCAGAUCCUACAUUACAGCUGCAGCCUCAUGGCUACCUCUUAAUUAACUGCCUCUGUGACUAAUAUUCAGAAAAACAAUCAGUUGUCAGCAGACCUGCAUGAUAAGCCAUACUAGAAAAGCCCUUCCCACUGGAAGAGAAUUAUUCCAAGUGAAAAUUCAGAUUUACAGGAAGAAGAAAGGCAAAAAUAAUAAAUACGUGUGUAUAUGUAAAAACUAUUUUUCUCUUUUUUGAUUUAUUUAAAUCAAGAAAUUGAGUUAUUUAAUGAAAAUAUAAUAAAAUAUGCUUUGAGAUUUAUAAUUAACAUCGAUGUACAAGACAGUGAUAGAAUAGAGAUUGAUGGGUAUCAACAGAGGUACUUACUGUUUCUCAUAAGUGAAAUGAUAUGCAUAUGAUAGGUAAAGUGAUAUAAUAUUAAUUCAAAUUAGAUUGGGAAAAGUUCAUUUAUAUAGUGAUUCCUAGAAAACCAACUGAUGGUGGGAGGCAAAGAAAUAUAGUAGUAUGUCCAUACAAAGGAUAAAAAAAUACUGAAUUAGUUGAAUUACUGAUUUUAAAAACUUAGUCAUUCAAAAUAAUCAGGAAAAGAGAACUUAAAAUAAGUGAGGUAUGUACCAAAUACCAUUAUCCUCAUUUUACAGAUAAGGAUACUGAUACCAAGUGAAGUUAAAAAAUUUGCCCAAGAUUAAAUAAUUAUUUAGUGUAAAUUCUGUGAUUUAGAGACCUGGCUUAUCCCAAUUAUGCUUUAUCCUUAAACAAUACUGAAUAAACAUUUUAAUUACAAUUGUAACUGAAGAAAAAUACAGGCUUUGACUGGAUAUGAUUUGAGUAUAAAUAUUUCCGCUGAAAAUAAAACUUUUAUAUAAAAUGUGAAAUAAAGUUGAUUUAGGUAAACUUUUAUUCUACUUUCCUUUUAUUGCUGCCUUUUCUUUCUGCUUCUUAAUUUUAAUUCAAAAAGCAGUCAUUUAAACAGUAUAAUAAAGUCACAUAACUAUAUGCCAAUAGAAGAGAAAAAAAUAACAAAAAUUUUAAAAUCAUGCAAAC